AGAGACUUGCACAUGACCGUGGAUCACAGGGAAGAUGACAGAGAAGAGGGCGAAAUGAAAGGGUCAGAAGGUGGAUGAUUGGAAUAAUUCAUGGUUGAAUUGGAUGGUAUGGGUGUUACAGAAGGACAGAAGACAGAGAAGACUUAGAAGCAGACACGUAUGACUUCUGCGUCUGCCUCUACAAUUCUCCACCCUCUGAUGCUGUCCCAGAGCCUAGACGUGCCUUUCUUUAGCCCUCGAGCAAAAGAUGAUCCUGCCACCAUGGUGGAGUAAAUCGGUGACUUUAGCUGCAAGGUUUCAAGUGGCAGAAGCAAUCUGAUGGGCUUCUAGGCUCUGUAUGUAGGUCACUGGCACAUUUGCAUGUUCUCCCAAGAAUCAUUUUCCGUGGGGUUUCUGCUCAGGGAGUGAACGCAUCUAAAAUUGAAACUCUCUUUGGUGAGGCUGGUAUUCGAGAGGGAAAAAAUAGAGAGCAGCUCCCAAGCUGCGCUAACAAUGUUGGUUCCAUUUCAAAGUGUGUUCAAGCUGAUGAAAAUUACAGAGAUGACCACCUAAGCUCCCAGAGCAUCAAGCAGCCAAAACUGUAUUUGGGAAAAAAAAAAUAGUGGUGUCAUUUACAAUUCACAUGUGCCCUUUCUACGUUUAUGCCCAAAGGCAUCUUGUCAUUUAUUGUUUGGCCAAUGCCUCUUGGAGACGUUUUUCCUGUAAUUAUUUCCAUGCAUUUUCACAGAAGCAUCUGCUCUCCGAUGGUGACGCCCAAGAAGAGAAUUAGAGAGCCUGUAUAUCCAGAAAGCCAUGGAGUCUGAGUUCUCGAAAUGAGAAGUGACAAAAGCCAAGGAGGGACAUGGCAUGCGUUUUCAAAUUCGAUAUUUAGAAAUUCUCUAUUCAUCUGCUAAGCUACUGAGGAUGCAGCAAAAACUGCUUUCACAUUCACCUUCAUUCUUCCUCUUCUGCUGUCCAACAGAGGGUUAAUUAGACAAAUGCUCCUGCCUAUCUCCUUAAUGGGCAGGUUGUCCAACAGUCUGUGAAGGAGGUUGAGAGUCUGAUGCACUGGCUUGUCUGUCUUCAGUCUGGUUUGUGUCAUUGCUCCUUCCCGAGAGAGGAGAACCAGGGACCAUGGCAGCCUGCUAGGAAUAGCUCAGACCUUACCUCCCUCUCCUCCCUUCUCUCCCUGUGGAAGAGAAGCAAUCAGGGCCAAGGACCCGGUCGUUUCCAGGUACUAAUAGUUGGUGGAGAUAAGAAUAAAGACAUUACAAUCCA